rnacentral:rRNA from 1 species
UACGUAGGGCGCAAGCGUUAUCCGGAAUUAUUGGGCGUAAAGAGCUCGUAGGCGGUUUGUCGCGUCUGCCGUGAAAGUCCGGGGCUCAACUCCGGAUCUGCGGUGGGUACGGGCAGACUAGAGUGAUGUAGGGGAGACUGGAAUUCCUGGUGUAGCGGUGAAAUGCGCAGAUAUCAGGAGGAACACCGUAUCGGCGAAGGCGGUUGCUGGGCUGAUACUGACGCUGAGGCGCGAAAGCCAGGGGAGCGAACGGG